AAAAAUUUUCCUCUAAAACAAAUUUUGAAGUUGGAAAAUGAGUAGGAAAAGUCACCCAGAACUAACCAGCGGCGCACUUCGGCACAUCAUUGAGAAAGGACUGCGUGCCAAUGAAAAUCCUAUUCUACAAGUUUUGUGUCACAAAGCUAUACCAGGCGAUAAAGGUGACGUUUAUCGCCUCCUAAUUUCUGAUGGAAAGUAUUCCUAUGCGUAUGGA